rnacentral:tRNA from 1 species
UCUCUGGUAGUAUAGUGGUUAGUAUCCGCGCCUGUCACGUGCGAGACCCGGGUUCAAUUCCCGGCGAGAGAG